rnacentral:rRNA from 1 species
ACGAACGCUGGCGGCGUGCUUAACACAUGCAAGUCGAGCGGUAAGGCCCUUUCGGGGGUACACGAGCGGCGAACGGGUGAGUAACACGUGGGUGACCUGCCCUCAGCUCUGGGAUAAGCCUGGGAAACUGGGUCUAAUACCGGAUAUGACUCCAUGACGCAUGUUGUGGGGUGGAAAGCCUUGUGCGGCUGAGGAUGGGCCCGCGGCCUAUCAGCUUGUUGGUGGGGUGAUGGCCACCAAGGCGACGACGGGUAGCCGGCCUGAGAGGGCGACCGGCCACACUGGGACUGAGACACGGCCCAGACUCCUACGGGAGGCAGCAGUGGGGAAUCUUGCGCAAUGGGCGAAAGCCUGACGCAGCGACGCCGCGUGAGGGAUGACGGCC